AGUGAACGCUGGCGGUAGGCCUAACACAUGCAAGUCGAACGGCAGCACAGUAAGAGCUUGCUCUUACGGGUGGCGAGUGGCGGACGGGUGAGGAAUACAUCGGAAUCUACUUUUUCGUGGGGGAUAACGUAGGGAAACUUACGCUAAUACCGCAUACGACCUACGGGUGAAAGCAGGGGAUCUUCGGACCUUGCGCGAUUGAAUUAGCCGAUGUCGGAUUAGCUAGUUGGCGGGGUAAAGGCCCACCAAGGCGACGAUCCGUAGCUGGUCUGAGAGGAUGAUCAGCCACACUGGAACUGAGACACGGUCCAGACUCCUACGGGAGGCAGCAGUGGGGAAUAUUGGACAGUGGGCGCAAGCCUGAUCCAGCCAUACCGCGUGGGUGAAGAAGGCCUUCGGGUUGUAAAGCCCUUUUGUUGGGAAAGAAAAGCAGCAGGUUAAUACCCCGCUGUUCUGACGGUACCCAAAGAAUAAGCACCGGCUAACUUCGUG
rnacentral:rRNA from 1 species